GACGAACGCUGGCGGCGUGCCUAAUACAUGCAAGUAGGACGCAGUUGCGAACGGGUGAUUAACGCGUAGGUAACUACCUAUUAGAGGGGGGUAACUAUUGGAAACGAUAGCUAAUACCGCAUACUAGUAGAUGGACCUGCGUUGUAUUAGCUAGUAGGUUGGGUAAUGGCCUACCUAGGCAACGAUACAUAGCCGAGCCGAGAGGGGGAUCGGGCAAACUGGGACCUGGAAACGGCCCAGACGUCUACGGGAGGCAGCAGUAGGGAAUCUUUGGCAAUUGGGGGAAACCUGACCGAGCAAAGCCGCGGGAGAGAAGAAGGUUGUCGGAGCGUAAAGCUCUGUUGUUAAGGAAGCGGUACUUAACCAGAAAGGGACGGCUAACUACGUGCCAGCAGCCGCGGUAAUAC
rnacentral:rRNA from 1 species